AGUCCAGCUUCAGAACUGGGCCUCACGGAUCUCUAAGUGGAGCAUUCCCUGGAGAGAGACUCAGGACAAUAUUAAAUCCAAUGAAUCACCCGGCCUUCGGGGGGCAGGGCGGCGUGCCACAGAGCAGCGUGGAACGAGGCCUGGCCCGAUGUCCCUGGUGGCAGCAGCCGCAGCAUGAGGCACCACACUCUGUUUCAACAAAGACUCAGGAAGCUUCGUCUUCGGAUCACCAGGGACAGGCACGGAGGCAGAUGGUGAGGGCCAUUCAAGGACAUCUUCAGCACAGCGCGGUGGAAGGCGGAGUUGGUUCGUGGCCCUGGAUUCCGCUCGCUUGGCCCAACAGCCUCAGGUAUGGUACCCGUCCUGGCUCGUGGGUUCCUGGUUCU
rnacentral:lncRNA from 1 species